rnacentral:rRNA from 1 species
UACGUAGGGUGCGAGCGUUGUCCGGAAUUAUUGGGCGUAAAGAGCUCGUAGGCGGUGUGUCGCGUCGGCCGUGAAAACCUGCAGCUUAACUGUGGGCUUGCGGUCGAUACGGGCAUCACUGGAGUUCGGCAGGGGAGACUGGAAUUCCUGGUGUAGCGGUGAAAUGCGCAGAUAUCAGGAGGAGCACCGGUGGCGAAGGCGGGUCUCUGGGCCGAUACUGACGCUGAGGAGCGAAAGCGUGGGGAGCGAACAGG